UCUAUACAGAGAAGAUUAGCUUUCCCCCCAUGCAAGGAUGACACACAGAUUUGUAAAGCAUUCAAUAUUUUU
rnacentral:snRNA from 1 species